UACGUAGGGGGCAAGCGUUGUCCGGAUUUAUUGGGCGUAAAGAGCUACGUAGGCGGUUGUUCACGUCGGAUGUGAAAGCUCAAGGGCUCGAACCCUGAGCAGGCCAUUCGAUACGGGACGACUAGAGGUGAGGUAGGGGGAAAGUGGAAUUCCUGGUGUAGCGGUGAAAUGCGCAGAUAUCAGGAGGAACACCGGUGGCGAAGGCGGCCUGCUGGGCAGUUGCUGACACUGAGGCGCGACAGCGUGGGGAGCAAACAGG
rnacentral:rRNA from 1 species